rnacentral:lncRNA from 1 species
GAUGAAGUCUCCAUCAUGACUGGGCCACAGGGAUGGGGUCUCGCUGUGUUGCCCAGAUGGGGCCUCAAAUUCCUGGCCUCAAGCAGUCCUCCUGUCUCAGCCUCCCAAAGUGCUGGGACUACAGGCAUAAACUACCACACCCAGCCAGUAAGUAAUAGGCACUUUUAAACAGCUAUAUUGAGAUAUAAUUUACAUCUCAUAUACGCCAUCCAUUUAA